rnacentral:rRNA from 1 species
CAGCCGCCGCGGUAAUACAGAGGGUGCAAGCGUUAAUCGGAAUUACUGGGCGUAAAGCGCGCGUAGGUGGUUCGCCAAGUUGGAUGUGAAAUCCCCGGGCUCAACCUGGGAACUGCAUCCAAAACUGGCGAGCUAGAGUAUGGUAGAGGGUGGUGGAAUUUCCUGUGUAGCGGUGAAAUGCGUAGAUAUAGGAAGGAACAUCAGUGGCGAAGGCGACCACCUGGACUGAUACUGACACUGAGGUGCGAAAGCGUGGGGAGCAAACAGGAUUAGAUACCCCUGUAGUCCCUGUCUCUUAUAA